ensembl:lncRNA
UUUGAGACUAUUUUCUGUACAUCAAAAAUCAUUGUGAGGGGCUGGCCCAGUGGCGCAGCAGUGAAGUUCUCACGCUCCGCUUCGGCGGCCCAGGGUUGGCUGAUUCACAUCCAGGGUGCAGACAUGGCACUGCUUGGCAAAGCCAUGCUGUGGCUGGCGUUCCACAUAUAAAGUAGAGGAAGAUGGGCUCGGAUGUUAGCUCAAGGCCAGUCUUCCUCAGCAAAAAGAGGAGGAUUGGCAGCAGAUGUUAGCUCAGGACUAAUUUUCCACACACACACACACAAAAAUUAUGGGGCCGGCUCCAUGGCUGAGUGGUUAAGUUCGCGUGCUCCGCUGUGGUGGCCCAGGGUUCGGGUCCUGGGCGCAGACGUGGCACCGAUCGUCAGGCCACGUUGAGGCCGCAUCCCACAUCCCACAACUAGAAGGACCUGCAACUAAGAUAUACAGCUAUGUAUGGGGGAGGGGGAUUUGGGGAGAUAAAGCAGAAAAACAAAAGAAGACUGGCAACAGUUGUUAGCUCAGGUGCCAAUCUUUAAAAAAAAAUUAAAAAAUAAAAUUAAAAAACAUCAUAAAAAAGCUGGGGAAAAGUUUUCCCAACAAUGGGAGAGUGGUUACUACCAGGGAGACACAAAGAGCUCGCUGAAAAUGUUGAGAGAAACAACAUGAACUCAAUUUUUUAAAUGGACAAAGCAUGUAAGCAAAUUAUAAAAGAGGUAAUACAAGUGGAUAACAAGCACAUUUUUUAAAAAUCCACCUCAUUGGUCAUUUGGAAAUGGAAGGCACAACACACAGAGACGCCUUUUCUGCUUUUUCCCCACUGUUAGAUUGGCAGAGAUUUAAAUGUAAUAAGACUGAGCACUAGAGAAUGUGAGCUUGGCAUUUCUGUGUCCUGCUGGCGAGGGGGUCAGAUGUUCCUAUCUUUGGAACAACGUGGAAACAUACAACUCUUUCCAGGUGUUUAUACCUCUUGGUCUGAGAGUUUUGUUGAGAGGCCAUGAUGAGGCGCUAUUCGAGUCUGUUACGUGUUCUGUGAGGAUUAAGCUGACACAGGGAAGAGCCAAUCUGUUCUGCAUAAUAAACAAAAGGUGUCCUGCUUAGGUGGACAGAUUGUUCUCCAGGCAGGCGGUAGGGUGAGGCCACCAGCAUGGACCAAUCCCAAGGUGAGAGGAGAUACUAGUUUUCCAUGGCUACGGUAACAAAUUACCACAAACUUGGCAGCUUAAAACAGCAAAAUUGAUUACCGCAAGUUUCUGCAGAUCAGAAGUUCGACAGGCUCUCAUGGGGCUAACAUCAAGAAGACGGCAGGGCUGUAUUCCUCACUGGAAGCUCUGGGUGAAAAUCUGCUUCCAGGCUCAUUUAGGUCUCUGUUUCCUUACUGGCUUUCAUCCGGGUCUCACACAGCUUUUAGAGGACACCCUUAUUUUUUGGCUCUCACUCUGCCUCCUCCAUCUUCAAAGCCAACAAUGGCUAAGCUCUUCUCAUGUGUCACAUCUCUCUGAUCUCUCUCCUUCCUUACCUCUCCUCUGCUUUCCUCUUCUACUGCAUCUUUGACUCC